rnacentral:rRNA from 1 species
GAUGAACGCUGGCUACAGGCUUAACACAUGCAAGUCGAGGGGAAACGACGGGGAAGCUUGCUUCCCCGGGCGUCGACCGGCGCACGGGUGAGUAACGCAUAUCCAACCUGCCUCUGACUGAGGGAUAACCCGUCGAAAGUCGGCCUAAUACCUCAUGGCAUCGUCUGCGGGCAUCCAACGACGAUUAAAGAUUUCAUCGGUCAGGGAUGGGGAUGCGUCUGAUUAGCUAGUUGGCGGGGUAACGGCCCACCAAGGCGACGAUCAGUAGGGGUUCUGAGAGGAAGGUCCCCCACAUUGGAACUGAGACACGGUCCAAACGCCUACGGGAGGCAGCAGUGAGGAAUAUUGGUCAAUGGGCGAGAGCCUGAACCAGCCAAGUAGCGUGCAGGAUGACGGCCCUAUGGGUUGUAAACUGCUUUUAUGCGGGGAUAAAGUGAGGGACGUGUCCUUCAUUGCAGGUACCGCAUGAAUAAGGACCGGCUAAUUCCGUG